UUGUGAAUGACCCAUUGCAUCUUGUUCGUAGGUAAAUUGCCUCCUUGCUUCAUCUGAACCUGCAGACCCAGUCAUCAUGCGAGUCCUUCUCAUCCUUUUGGUCGGCCUGCUCGUCGUGGGUGAGGUGACGUGCUGGGCUGCUUGGUCUAACGAAGGGAAAAUGUCGCGUGAGCGUCGUGCCCGAAAAGCAGAGAGGAAAGCUCUUGUCAACGAACUCACAGCUCCUGCUGCUGCAAAGCUAAAGAAUCUUUAAUGUGGUGCAGGUCGUAAGGCCAGGAAGACUUCCUUCCCUUGGCCAGCGACCUGACAGUCAGUAGUGGUGAUCACCACAAAAUCAAUCUUCUGAUUGAUGUAAUUUCUUUUCCUGCUUUUUCUCCUUUUUUUCUCUCCAAAGGCAAGAAUGAUGUUCAAGAAAAAAAAUCUCAUUACAUUUUUUUUCCAAAUGAACUGUUUUUUUCCCACUAUUAUACUAACAAAAAUUCUUUCAAAAUAACUUGAUAAUAAAACUGUAUGAUCUUUC